rnacentral:rRNA from 1 species
GAUGAACGCUGGCGGCGUGCCUAAUACAUGCAAGUCGAGCGAACGGACGAGAAGCUUGCUUCUCUGAUGUUAGCGGCGGACGGGUGAGUAACACGUGGAUAACCUACCUAUAAGACUGGGAUAACUUCGGGAAACCGUAGCUAAUACCGGAUAAUAUUUUGAACCGCAUGGUUCAAAAGUGAAAGACGGUCUUGCUGUCACUUAUAGAUGGAUCCGCACUGCAUUAGCUAGUUGGUAAGGUAACGGCUUACCAAGGCAACGAUGCAUAGCCGACCUGAGAGGGUGAUCGGCCACACUGGAACUGAGACACGGUCCAGACUCCUACGGGAGGCAGCAGUGGGGAAUCUUCCGCAAUGGGCGAAAGCCUGACGGAGCAACGCCGCGUGAGUGAUGAAGGUCUUCGGAUCGUAAAACUCUGUUAUUAGGGAAGAACAUAUGUGUAAGUAACUGUGCACAUCUUGACGGUACCUAAUCAGAAAGCCACGGCUAACUACGUG